rnacentral:ncRNA from 2 species
CGUCUCCUCUGAUUCUCCUCUUGAAUUGGAUUUCACGCCGGCCUGCACAGGUCGGCGUUUUUUUG